CAAGAAGGGGUUGCGCUUGGAGGACUUCAACUACAACAACAAGAACAUCACCGACGAGAUCUACCGGGCCCUCAACUCUUCUGCCUUUGAGGGCGUCUCGGGACACGUUGUCUUCGACGCCAGCGGCUCCCGCAUGGCCUGGACGCUCAUCGAGCAGCUGCAAGGAGGGGUCUACAAGAAGAUUGGCUACUACGACAGCACCAAGGACAACCUGUCCUGGUACAACAACGACAAGUGGAUUGGUGAGCAGCGCCGCACGCGGGGUGUGAGCUG